AACAAAUAUUAAAGGCAACGCCUGCCCAGUGAACAAUUAAACGGCCGCGGUACCCUAACCGUGCAAAGGUAGCAAAAUCAUUUGUCUAUUAACUGUAGACCUGUAUGAAAGGCAAAAUGAGGGUUUAACUGUCUCUUAUAAUUAAUCUAUUAAACUGAUCCCCCAGUAAAAAAGCUGGGAUACCCCCAUAAGACCAGAAGACCCUGUGAAGCUUUAAUUAAACUAUUAAACCCUAUAAUAACUACUUUGGGUUGGGGCGACCUUGGAAACAAGAAAAACUUCCAAAUAUAUACACUAAACACCACAAGGCCCACAAGCCUAUUAAUGACCCAGUAAUACUGAUAAAUGAACAAAGUUACUCCAGGGAUAACAGCGCUAUCUUCUUCAAGAGCCCAUAUCAAAAAGAAGGUUUACGACCUCGAUGUUGGAUCAGGACACCCCGAUGGUGCAGCCGCU
rnacentral:rRNA from 1 species